CGGAGCUGGCUGGCGGCUACGGGGGUAGGCCCUGAGGAAGCUCCGCCCUCCGCGCGGCACGGGAACCCCGUAAGGGGUACGGGGAGAUCCGUGGCAACGGCACAGAAACGAAACGGCCGCCACCCUAUGUCGAUGACGCGGUGAGGACUACCUGGUAACAGGUAGUCAGUAACCCGCUGAUGUAUGGUGGUGGAUGCGUUGAAACGGCCGUCCUCCCGGGAGCAAGGCCAAGCAGCACCGAUGAGGGCCGCGUGAGGUGCGGGUAGGCCGCAGAGUCCAAUGCCGCCGUAGUACAGAAGGCGGGCUAUAGCUGGCACCG
rnacentral:RNase_P_RNA from 1 species